rnacentral:rRNA from 1 species
GACGAACGCUGGCGGCGUGCCUAAUACAUGCAAGUAGAACGCUGAAGGAGGAGCUUGCUUCUCUGGAUGAGUUGCGAACGGGUGAGUAACGCGUAGGUAACCUGCCUGGUAGCGGGGGAUAACUAUUGGAAACGAUAGCUAAUACCGCAUAAUAGUAGAUGUUGCAUGACAUUUGCUUAAAAGGUGCAAUUGCAUCACUACCAGAUGGACCUGCGUUGUCUUAGCUAGUUGGUGGGGUAACGGCUCACCAAGGCGACGAUACAUAGCCGACCUGAGAGGGUGAUCGGCCACACUGGGACUGAGACACGGCCCAGACUCCUACGGGAGGGAGCAGUAGGGAAUCGUCGGCAAUGGACGGAAGUCUGACCGAGCAACGCAGCGUGAGUGAAGAAGGUUUUCGGAUCGUAAAGCUCUGUUGUAAGAGAAGAACGAGUGUGAGAGUGGAAAGUUCACACUGUGACGGUAUCUUACCAGAAAGGGACGGCUAACUACGUG